UUCCUAGUAAAUGUGUUUUAAAAUCGUGAGACUGACGACGAUACUCCAACGGACCGAGGCGAAUAAUAUCUACUAGUAAUGGAUUUAGAAACUAAGCAACCAAAGUUAAACGGCACAGAGGGCUGACAAUGGACCAGAGGAUCAAUACACUGGAGAUUGGUACUGAAUCAUGAAUUUGUCUGCUGUGUCUCUCCUCAUCUGGUAAUGUACAGUACAAUAUGAUUCUUAACCUUCAAAUUUUUGUUUGGUUUCUUGAUCCUUUACUAAUGAAAUUGAUUCUUUGCUACUCUUGCCUC